GGCGGACUGGUGAGUAACACGUAAGCAACCUGCCUAUCAGAGGGGAACAACAGUUGAAAUGACUGCUAAUACCGCAUAUGCCUAAAGUACCACAUGGGUACAAUAGGGAAAGGAGCAAUCCGCUGAUAGAUGGGCUUGCGUCUGAUUAGAUAGUUGGUGGGGUAACGGCCUACCAAGUCGACGAUCAGUAGCCGACCUGAGAGGGUGAUCGGCCACAUUGGAACUGAGAAACGGUCCAAACUCCUACGGGAGGCAGCAGUGGGGAAUAUUGGGCAAUGGGGGAAACCCUGACCCAGCAACGCCGCGUGAAGGAAGAAGGUCUUCGGAUCGUAAACUUCUAUCCUUGGUGAAGAUAAUGACGGUAGCCGAGAAGGAAGCCCCGGCUAACUACGUG
rnacentral:rRNA from 1 species